rnacentral:rRNA from 1 species
AUUGAACGCUGGCGGCAUGCCUAACACAUGCAAGUCGAGCGGAUGAAGCGAGCUUGCUCCUGGAUUCAGCGGUGGACGGUUGAGUACUGCCUAUGAAUCUGCCUGGUAGUGGGGGAUAACGUCCUGAUACGGGCUCUAAUACCGCAUACGUCCUGAGGUCGCCUUUGGGUGAUCUUCGGAUCUCACGCUAUCAUAUUAGCAUAGGUCGGAUUAGCUAGUUGGUGGGGUAACGGCCUAACAAGGCGACUAUCCGUAACUGGUCUUAGAGGAUGAUCAGUCAGAUGGGAAGAGAGAAAGGGCAGAGACACCGAAGGGAGGAAACAGCGGGGAAUAUUAGGCAAUGGGGGAAAGGGGAAUCUAGCAAAGUGGCGUGUGGGAAGAAGGACUAAGGAUGGUAAAGCAAUGUAAGUUGGGAGGAAGGAAAGUAAGUUAAUACCGUGCUGUUAUGACGGUACCAACAGAAUAAGCACCGGCUAACUUCGUG